UACGGGGGGAGCAAGCGUUGUUCGGAUUUACUGGGCGUAAAGGGCGCGUAGGCGGCCACCGCAAGUCGACUGUGAAAUCUCCGGGCUUAACCCGGAACGGUCAGCCGAUACUGCGGGGCUAGAGUGCAGAAGGGGCAACUGGAAUUCUCGGUGUAGCGGUGAAAUGCGUAGAUAUCGAGAGGAACACCGGUGGCGAAGGCGGCCUGCUGGGACAGUGCUGACGCUGAGGCGCGACAGCGUGGGGAGCAAACAGG
rnacentral:rRNA from 1 species